rnacentral:rRNA from 1 species
UACGGAGGGUGCGAGCGUUGCCCGGAUUUCUUGGGCGUAAAGGGCGCGUAGGCGGCUCUGCACGUCCGUUGUGAAAUCGCCCGGCUCAACUGGGCGGGGUCAGCGGAUACGGCGGAGCUUGAGCAAGCUAGGGGGCAAUGGAAUUCCCGGUGUAGUGGUGGAAUGCGUAGAUAUCGGGAGGAACACCAGUGGCGAAGGCGGUUGCCUGGGGCUUUGCUGACGCUGAUGCGCGAAAGCGUGGGGAGCGAUCCGG